CGUGAACGCUGGCGGUAGGCCUAACACAUGCAAGUCGAACGGCAGCACUAGAGAGCUUGCUCCCUGGGUGGCGAGUGGCGGACGGGUGAGGGAUACAUCGGAAUCUACUCUGCCGGGGGGGACAAGGUAGGGAAACGUACGCUAAUACCGCAUACGACCUACGGGUGAAAGCAGGGGAUCUUCGGGCCUUGUGCGAUGUGAUCCGCCGAGGUCGGAUUAGCUAGUUGGCGGGGUAAAGGCACACCAAGGCGACGAUCCGUAGCUGGUCUGAGAGGAUGAUCAGCCACACUGGAACUGAGAAACGGUCCAGACACCUAGGGGAGGCAGCAGGGGGGAAUAUUGGACAAUGGGCGCAAGCCUGAUCCAGCCAUACCGCGUGGGUGAGGAAGGCCUUCGGGUUGUAAAGCCCUUUUGUUGGGAAAGAAAUCCAGCUGGCUAAUACCCGGUUGGGAUGACGGUACCCAAAGAAUAAGCACCGGCUAACUUCGUGCCAGCCGCCGCAGUAA
rnacentral:rRNA from 1 species